rnacentral:rRNA from 1 species
CAGGUCCGGGGGGAUUACCCCCUGAGUUUAACCAUAUCAAUAAGCGGAG